CCAGACUCCUACGGGAGGCAGCAGUGGGGAAUAUUGCACAAUGGGCGCAAGCCUGAUGCAGCGACGCCGCGUGCGGGAUGACGGCCUUCGGGUUGUAAACCGCUUUUGACUGGGAGCAAGCCCUUCGGGGUGAGUGUACCUUUCGAAUAAGCACCGGCUAACUACGUGCCAGCAGCCGCGGUAAUACGUAGGGUGCAAGCGUUAUCCGGAAUUAUUGGGCGUAAAGGGCUCGUAGGCGGUUCGUCGCGUCCGGUGUGAAAGUCCAUCGCUUAACGGUGGAUCCGCGCCGGGUACGGGCGGGCUUGAGUGCGGUAGGGGAGACUGGAAUUCCCGGUGUAACGGUGGAAUGUGUAGAUAUCGGGAAGAACACCAAUGGCGAAGGCAGGUCUCUGGGCCGUCACUGACGCUGAGGAGCGAAAGCGUGGGGAGCGAACAGGAUUAGAUACCCUGGUAGUCCACGCCGUAAACGGUGGAUGCUGGAUGUGGGGACCAUUCCACGGUCUCCGUGUCGGAGCCAACGCGUUAAGCAUCCCGCCUGGGGAGUACGGCCGCAAGGCUAAAACUCAAAGAAAUUGACGGGGGCCCGCACAAGCGGCGGAGCAUGCGGAUUAAUUCGAUGCAACGCGAAGAACCUUACCUGGGCUUGACAUGUUCCCGACAGCCGUAGAGAUACGGUUUCCCUUCGGGGCGGGUUCACAGGUGGUGCAUGGUCGUCGUCAGCUCGUGUCGUGAGAUGUUGGGUUAAGUCCCGCAACGAGCGCAACCCUCGCCCUGUGUUGCCAGCACGUCGUGGUGGGAACUCACGGGGGACCGCCGGGGUCAACUCGGAGGAAGGUGGGGAUGACGUCAGAUCAUCAUGCCCCUUACGUCCAGGGCUUCACGCAUGCUACAAUGGCCGGUACAACGGGAUGCGACACCGCGAGGUGGAGCGGAUCCCUUAAAACCGGUCUCAGUUCGGAUUGGAGUCUGCAACCCGACUCCAUGAAGGCGGAGUCGCUAGUAAUCGCGGAUCAGCAACGCCGCGGUGAAUGCGUUCCCGGGCCUUGUACACACCGCCCGUCAAGUCAUGAAAGUGGGUAGCACCCGAAGCCGGUGGCCCAACCUUUUGGGGGGAGCCGUCUAAGGUGAGACUCGUGAUUGGGACUAAGUCGUAACAAGGUAGCCGUACCGGAAGGUGCGGCUG
rnacentral:rRNA from 1 species